UACGUAGGGAGCAAGCGUUGUCCGGAAUCAUUGGGCGUAAAGAGCGUGUAGGCGGUUCGGUAAGUCCGCUGUGAAAGUCAAGGGCUCAACCCUUGAAUGCCGGUGGAUACUGCCAAACUAGAGUCCGGAAGAGGCGAGUGGAAUUCCUGGUGUAGCGGUGAAAUGCGCAGAUAUCAGGAGGAACACCGAUGGCGAAGGCAGCUCGCUGGGACGGUACUGACGCUGAGACGCGAAAGCGUGGGGAGCAAACAGG
rnacentral:rRNA from 1 species